AGGGUGCAGGGCGGAUGCCUUGGCACUAGGAGCCGAUGAAGGACGUGAUAAGCUGCGAUAAGCUUCGGGGAGUUGCACGUAAACUUUGAUCCGAAGAUUUCCGAAUGAGGAAACUCACUUAGAGUAAUGUCUAAGUAUCAUUAAGUGAAUACAUAGCUUAAUGAGGGGAACUCAGGGAACUGAAACAUCUAAGUACCUGAAGGAAGAGAAAGAAAUUCGAUUCCGUAAGUAGCGGCGAGCGAACGCGGAUUAGCCCAAACCAAUAAAGUUUUCUUUAUUGGGGUUGCGGACAUAUCAUAACGAAGAGGUAUCGUAAUUGAAGAGGUUUGGAAAGACCCACCACAGAAGGUAAUAGUCCUGUAUGUUAAACGAGAAGACUUCAGAUAUGAUCCAGAGUACCACGGGACACGUGAAACCCUGUGGGAAGCAGGAGGGACCACCCUCCAAGGCUAAAUACUACCUAGUGACCGAUAGCGUAUAGUACCGUGAGGGAAAGGUGAAAAGAACCCCGGGAGGGGAGUGAAAUAGAACCUGAAACCCUGCACUUACAAGCUGUGGAAGCACAUUUCUUGUGUGACCGCGUACUUUUUGUAGAACGGGCCAACGAGUUACGUUAAGUAGCAAGGUUAAGCACUUAAGGUGCGGAGCCGUAGCGAAAGCGAGUUUUAACUGAGCGUUCAGUUACUUGACGUAGACCCGAAACCGGGCGACCUACCCAUGAGCAGGAUGAAGCGAAAGUAAAAUUUCGUGGAGGUCCGAACCCACGAGCGUUGAAAAGCUCGGGGAUGACUUGUGGGUAGCGGUGAAAUUCCAAUCGAGCCCGGAGAUAGCUGGUUCUCCCCGAAAUAGCUUUAGGGCUAGCCUCAAGGUGAGAGAUACGGAGGUAGAGCACUGAAUGUCCUAGGGGGUAUUGCACCUACCGAAGACUAUCAAACUCCGAAUGCCGUCAUCUUAUACUUGGGAGUCAGACUGUGGGUGAUAAGAUUCAUAGUCGAAAGGGCAACAGCCCAGAUCGUCAGCUAAGGUCCCUAAAUGUAAGUUAAGUGGUAAAGGAUGUGGGAUUGCACAGACAACCAGGAUGUUGGCUUAGAAGCAGCCACUCAUUCAAAGAGUGCGUAAUAGCUCACUGGUCGAGUGAUCCUGCGCCGAAGAUUUCCGGGGCUAAAACUUACUACCGAAGCUACGGCAUCAGUAAUGAUGGGUAGGGGAGCUUCCCAUACGGGUUGAAGCAUGACCGUAAGGACAUGUGGACAGUAUGGGAGUGAGAAUGUUGGCAUGAGUAGCGAGAUGUGGGUGAGAAUCCCACAGGCCGUAAACCCAAGGUUUCCAGGGGAAGGUUCGUCCGCCCUGGGUUAGUCGGGACCUAAGCUGAGGCCGAAAGGCGUAGGUGAUGGACAACAGGUUGAUAUUCCUGUACUACCGAUAACCGUUUGAGAGAAGGGAUGACACAGUAGGAUAAGCUAAGCACACUGUUGGUUAUGUGUGCCCAAGCAUUGAGGCAGUCAAAGUAGGCAAAUCCGCUUUGAUAAUGCUGGGAUGUGAUGGGGAGCGAAAUUUAGUAGCGAAGUAGCUGAUUUCACACUGUCAAGAAAAGUCUCUAUCGAGGUUAAAGGUACCCGUACCGCAAACCGACACAGGUGGGUGAGGAGAGUAUCCUAAGGCCAGCGAGAGAACUGUUGUUAAGGAACUCGGCAAAAUGACCCCGUAACUUAGGGAUAAGGGGUGCCACCAUCAGGUGGCCGCAGAGAAUAGGCCCAAGCGACUGUUUACCAAAAACAUAGGUUUCUGCUAAGUCGCAAGACGAUGUAUAGGAGCUGACGCCUGCCCGGUGCUGGAAGGUUAAGGGGAUCUGUUAGAGCAAUCGAAGCAGUGAACUUAAGCCCCAGUAAACGGCGGCCGUAACUAUAACGGUCCUAAGGUAGCGAAAUUCCUUGUCGGGUAAGUUCCGACCCGCACGAAAGGCGUAACGAUUUGGGCACUGUCUCAACAACAGACUCGGUGAAAUUGUAAUUCCGGUGAAGAUGCCGGAUACCUGCGACAGGACGGAAAGACCCCAUGGAGCUUUACUGUAGCUUGACAUUGGGUCUUGGUACUACAUGUACAGGAUAGGUGGGAGGCUUUGAAACCAGGACGCCAGUUUUGGCGGAGCCAUCCUUGGGAUACCACCCUUGUAGUACUGGGACUCUAACCAUAGGCCAUGAAUCUGGUCUUGGGACACUGUCAGGCGGGCAGUUUGACUGGGGCGGUCGCCUCCCAAAAGGUAACGGAGGCGCUCAAAGGUUCUCUCAGUACGGUCGGAAAUCGUACGUAGAGUGUAAAGGCAAAAGAGAGCUUGAUUGCAAGACAUACAGGUCGAGCAAGGAUGAAAAUCGGACUUAGUGAUCCGGUGGUUCUGCGUGGAAGGGCCAUCGCUCAACGGAUAAAAGCUACCCUGGGGAUAACAGGCUUAUCUCCCCCAAGAGUCCACAUCGACGGGGAGGUUUGGCACCUCGAUGUCGGCUCAUCACAUCCUGGGGCUGUAGUAGGUCCCAAGGGUUGGGCUGUUCGCCCAUUAAAGUGGUACGCGAGCUGGGUUCAGAACGUCGUGAGACAGUUCGGUCCCUAUCCGUCGCAGGCGUAGGAAAUUUGAGAAGACCUGUCCUUAGUACGAGAGGACCGGGAUGGACGUACCUCUGGUGUACCAGUUGUUCUGCCAAGGGCAUGGCUGGGUAGCUAUGUACGGAAUGGAUAAGCGCUGAAAGCAUCUAAGCGCGAAGCCAACUUCAAGAUAAGAUUUCCCACCGCAAGGGUAAGACCCCAGAAAGACUAUCUGGUUGA
rnacentral:rRNA from 1 species